CCUGUAAUCCCAGCACUUUGGGAGGCCGAGGUGGGUGGAUCACGAGGUCAAGAGAUCGAGACCAUCCUGGUCAACAAGGUGAAACCCCGUCUCUAGUAAAAAUACAAAAUUUAGCUGGGCAUGGUGGCGCGUGCCUGUAAUCCCAGCUACUCGGGAGGCUGAGGCAGGAGAAUUGCCUGAACCCAGGAGGCGGAGGUUGCAGUGAGCCGAGAUCGCGCCAUUGCACUCCAGCCUGGGGAACAAGAGUGAAACUCCGUCUCAAAAAAAAAAAAAAAUUAAUUUGUUUCAAAUUAGCCAGGCAUGGAGGUGUACACCUACAUUGGAAACUGAGGCGGGAGGAUCCCUGGAGAUUGAGGCUGCAGUGAGCUAUGAUCACACCACUGCACGCCAGCCUGGGUGACAGAACAAGACUCCAUCUCAAAAACAAAAUAAAAUAGGCCAGGCAGGUGGCUCAUGCCUAUAAUCCCAGCACUUUGGGAGGCUGAGGCAGGCAGAUCACCUGAGGUUAGGAGUUUAAGACCAGCCUGAGGCCGGGCUCGGUGGCUCAAGCCUGUUAUCCCAGCACUUUGGGAGGCCGAGGCGGGUGAAUCACGAGGUCAGGAGUUCAAGAACAGCCUAGGCAACAUGGUGAAACCCCAUCUCUACUAAAAAUACAAAAAAUUAGCUGGGCAUGGUGGCACGUGCCUGUAAUCCCAGCUACUCGGGAGGCUGAAGCAGGAGAAGUGCCUGAACCCAGGAGGCGGAGGUUGCGGUGAGCCGAGAUCGCGCCAUUGCACUCCAGCCUGGGUAACAAGAGCGAAACUCCGUCUCAAAAAAAAAAAAUUCCUGGACUGAAACGAUCCUCGACCUUCUGCGUAGCUGGGACUAAAGACACCAGUCACGACACCUAGCUAAUUUUUUUGCAUUUUCAUAGAGAUGUGGUCUCGCUGUGCUGCCCAGGCUGAACUCAAAUUCCUGGGCCCAAGUCGUCCUCCCCCCUCACCCUUCCCAAAGUGCUGGGAUUACAGGUGUGAGCCAUCGCGUCCAACCUCUUUUUCUCCCUUUCUUCCAGGCUUCCUGGUCAUAUUUUUAUGCUUUCACUGGCUGGGGAUAGAAAUUAACUGUUGUGGGGCAAGCACAGUGGCUCACACCUGUAAUCCCAGCACUUUGGGAGGCCGAGGCGGGAGGAUCGCCUGAGGUCAGGAGUUCGAGACCAGCCUGGCCAAUAUGGUGAAACCCCAUCUCUACUAAAAAUACAAAAUCUAGCCAGGUGUGGUGGCGCCUGUAAUCCCAGCUACCCGGGAGGCAGGAGAAGCACUUGAACCCAGGACACGGAGGUUGCAGUGAGCUGAGAUCGUGCCACUGUACUCCUGCCUGGGCGACAGAGGAAGACACCAUCUCAAAAAAAAAAAAAAAAAAAAAAGAACUGUGUGGCCUUGUAUUUCUAAGACUUUUGCAUCUGGAUAUGGGUGGCCGCGUCAGAGGCUUCUCCCAAGGGCCGUUCACCCGUCCCAGGCAGCUUGCUGCUCCCACCCCGCUUCUGUGGCUUUAUUUUGAAAAUCUGCUGCACCUGGGUUGCUUUUCCGUUGCUGUUGUGGAUGUUUUCUUUCCAGAUGGAGUCUCGCCUCGCUCUGUCACCCGGGCUGGAGUGCAGUGGCGCAGACUCGGCUCACUGCAACCUCCCCGUCCUGGGUUCAAGCAAUUCUCCUGCCUCAGCCUCCUGAGUAGCUGGGACUACAGGCACGCGCCACCACACACGGCUAAUUUUUUUGUAUUUUUAGUAGAGACGGGGUUUCACCAUGAUGGCCAGGCUGGUCUCGAACUCCUGACCUCAGGUGAUCCGCCCGCCUCCUCCUCCCAAAGCGCUGGGAUUGCAGGCAUCAGCCACCACGACCAGCCAAAGAAGGUCACGACCCAUGCGCACCGCCAGCCAGUGGCCUCCUCGCGCGUGGCUCUGCCCGGGGCCCGGGUACAGUGUGUCCAGCACGUGGAAGACGUCACCACGGGUGAAGCCCAGGCCGGACGGCGGGCUGGGCUCCAGCUCAAAGUGCGUGCGGAUGUAGAAGGAGUCGCCCACGCGGGACUGCACCAUUUUCCAGAAGACUGGGGAGAGGAGGCGGCCACGUGAGCUGUCUGGCUGCUGCCUGCUCAUAGCCCUCCCCGCACAGUGGGCCUGGAGGGAGGGACCCUGCCCUGGGGAGACUUGGGACACUCUCCCUGCAGUGGUCAGGAGAGGGAUGGACGGUGCAGAGAUGCAGCUUUGAUCGCACUCCGCUCACCAUCAGGCCACACAGCCAGGGCUGCCCCAGCACACAGGCACACGCGCAUCCACGCGCACUCACUGUCCUGCUUCCGCUGUGUCAGCAGCUCCAUCUCCUCGCCUGGUGGCAGCGCCAGCAGGAACUGCACCGCCUCCUCCCGGGUCAGGUUCUGGAACGGCACGUCAUUCACCUGCCGGGAAGCAGGGACAGCUGUACGCUGAGGCUCCGGUACCUCCUGGCUGUGCAUGAGAGCCUAGACCUUCCUCUGGGCAAAACCCAGCCCCGGCUGCUUCCAGAGCUGCCAUGGGCCCCGGAAGUUCCGGGAGGGUUUUCUGAUGGGGGCAUCACCCUGUGGCUGUGUGACAUGUGACACAGCUGGUGGCAUUAUAAAGAUACAGGGGGUUUUGACCUAGAAACGGGGGCACAGGCACUGCGCUGGCCUCUGGUAAUCAAGUCUUUGUAGGUUGUUGAUAUCAAAAUAUGGGAACAGGUGUCAUGGCA